rnacentral:rRNA from 1 species
UACAGAGAGUGCGAACGUUGUUCGGAAUUACUGGGCUUAAAGCGCACGUAGGCGGCAUCGUAAGUGUCUGGUGGAAUCCCACGGCUCACCCGUGGAACUGCCAGGCAUACUGUGAUGCUCGAGUGUGGUAGGGGAGAGCGGAACUCCUGGUGGAGCGGUGAAAUGCGUAGAUAUCAGGAGGAACACCGGUGGCGAAGGCGGCUCUCUGGUCCACAACUGACGCUGAGGUGCGAAAGCUAGGGGAGCAAACGGG